GAAUGAAAAGAAGCUUCCUUUUGAUCAUCCAGCAACUUUAAUCAAUUUAAAAUGUAUAGCUUACGAAAUUUUUCACAGAAAGAAAGAGAACUGAUGGAAUUUGCCGAGUUAGCUGGGAUUAUUAUGAAUCCUCGAAUAUUAAGAAGCAUCAUUGAACUUCUUCAAGCAAACACGUCCCCAGCAUCCAUUAUUCAAAUGUUAAGCGAGUUAUCCAUCUUUCGAGUACAAGAGAAGACUAGAAGACAAAAAAUGCUCAAACAUUUGAGUGAAAAAUAAUGCUGUAGAGAUGAUUUUGUUUCUCUUCAAAUAUAUUUUUAAUUCCCUUUG